UACGUAGGGCGCAAGCGUUGUCCGGAAUUAUUGGGCGUAAAGAGCUCGUAGGCGGCUUGUCACGUCGAUUGUGAAAGCCCGAGGCUUAACCUCGGGUCUGCAGUCGAUACGGGCUAGCUAGAGUGUGGUAGGGGAGAUCGGAAUUCCUGGUGUAGCGGUGAAAUGCGCAGAUAUCAGGAGGAACACCGGUGGCGAAGGCGGAUCUCUGGGCCCAUUACUGACGUGAGGAGCGAAAGCGUGGGGGAGCGAACAGG
rnacentral:rRNA from 1 species